AAAUGAAUUUCUAUAGUUGCCAUGGCCUCAUCCAAACCAAAACCUUAUCCUGCUGGCCCCAUUAUCAGUGGGCAAGUGCUUGUUCAAUCUGCCCAGGAAAAGGAUUUGAUGAAGCAGGUUCGAAGAGAGGAAAAGCGAUUUCAGAAGUUACGUCAAGGAUACGAGAAUGACGUAGAAGAGGCGUCAUCGAUGAAAAUGUUUCAAGAGCAACAGUUGGUCAUGGCUUCGACGCUUCCAAUUAUGAAACAUUCCGCUAGUAAAGCAAUCAAAUAUCCCAACGUUUACGAUUCAAUAGCAGAGGCGAAACAAUCUUCAUCUUUCGUUGGUGGGAAGAAAAUGGCGUUGCCAGAGUCUGCGGUGCGUACCAACACCGCAAAAUAUGAGGAAAUCAACAUUCCUCUAUCAGAACCAGCACCAACUGAAGUAGGAAACCAAUUAAUCCCCAUCGCUUCACUGGAUGACAUAAGUCGAAAAGCAUUCGGCAACUGCAAAAAUCUGAACAAGAUUCAGAGCGUAGUAUUUGAAACCGCUUACCGAACUAAUGAAAACAUGUUAGUUUGCGCUCCGACCGGAGCCGGUAAAACGAACAUUGCUAUGUUGACAAUUUUGCAUCAAAUCAAGCAGUACAUCACUAACGGAGUCCUUGAAAGAAAAGAUCAGUUUAAGAUUGUGUAUGUGGCCCCCAUGAAAGCUUUAGCAGCCGAGAUGGCAGAGAAUUUCGGGAAACGCUUGGCCCCACUGGGUCUGCUAGUGCGUGAGUUGACGGGUGACAUGCAGUUGACCAAGGCCGAAAUCAUGGCCACUCAGAUGCUCAUCACAACACCCGAAAAGUGGGAUGUUAUUACCAGGAAAAGCACUGGUGACAUUGCAUUGACGCAGUUGGUAAAAUUACUAAUUAUCGACGAAGUUCACUUACUUCACGGCGAUCGUGGUCCCGUAGUUGAAGCUCUUGUGGCCCGCACGCUGCGCCAGGUUGAAUCGUCCCAGAUGAUGAUUCGAAUCUUGGGUCUUUCGGCCACAUUGCCCAAUUACGUUGACGUAGCGCAAUUUCUGCACGUCAAUCCAUACAAGGGGCUCUUUUACUUUGAUUCGCGCUUCCGACCUGUGCCUUUAUCUCAAACAUUCAUCGGUGUGAAGGAGGUUAAUCCCAUGCGACAAAUGCAACAGAUGGAUUUCGUCUGUUAUGAUAAGGUCGCCGCCAUGGUACAACAGGGACAUCAAGUAAUGGUUUUUGUCCAUGCCCGUAACGCCACUCUAAAGACAGCCCAGACUUUAAGGAUGAUCGCGCAGGAAAAAAAUCAGCUGCAUUUAUUCCAGCCAGAAGAUAAUAGUGGAUUCAGCACCGCCAUGAGAACGGCAGGGAAAUCGAGGAAUAGGCAUCUUGUCGACUUGUUCAAAGACGGAUUCGCAAUUCAUCACGCCGGAAUGCUGAGGGGUGAUCGAAACCUUGUGGAGAAAAUGUUUGCCGACGGAAUGGCGCGAGUCCUGGUUUGCACAGCUACUUUGGCAUGGGGUGUAAACUUGCCUGCUCACGCAGUCAUCAUCAAAGGAACCGAGAUCUACGACGCUAAACACGGAGCCUUUGUCGAUAUCGGCAUCUUGGAUGUUCUGCAGAUCUUUGGUAGAGCUGGUCGACCCCAAUUUGACAAAUCAGGACACGGAACUAUCAUCACAUCCCACGACAAGUUAGCCCACUACCUCUCGUUGCUGACGUGCCAAUAUCCCAUCGAGAGCAGCUUUGAAAAAUCCAUGACAGACAACCUAAACGCUGAAAUUACGCUCGGAACGGUUGCAAAUGUUGACGAAGCCGUCCAGUGGCUAAGUUACACCUACUUGUUCAUUCGGAUGAGGAAAAACCCUAUCGCUUACGGCAUCAACCUGGAACAGAUAUUUGACGAUCCCCACUUGGGAGGAAAACGCCGAGAAUUGAUCGUUAUGGCUGCCCGAUCCUUGGACAAAGCCCGAAUGAUCCGCUUCGAAGAAAAGACUGGAUUGUUGCACGCCACCGAUUUGGGUCGAACCGCUAGCCACUUUUACAUCAAAUACGACACAGUCGAGAUCUUCAACGAGCAAAUGCAUCAAGCUAUGAACGAUGCCGAAAUUUUCGCUCUCAUCUCCAUGGCAACUGAGUUUGACCAGCUCAAAGUGCGUGAUGACGAGCUGGAUGAGCUUGACGAUUAUCUCCAUACUUACUGCGAAUUGCCUGUCAGCGGCGGUAGCGAGAAUAUUCACGGCAAAGUCAACAUUUUGAUGCAGACUUACGUUUCACGUGGAUCCGUCAACUCGUUUAGUUUAAUUUCCGAUCAGUCAUUCAUCGCCCAAAAUUCGUCUCGUAUUGCUCGAGCUCUUUUCGAGAUUGUUUUGCGCAAAAAUUGGCCAUUAAUGUCCGGUAGAGUUCUUCGGGUUUCCAAUAUGAUUGAGCAACGAGUUUGGGACUCGCAGCAUCCGUUGCGCCAAUUUGGCACUCUCGGUCAAGAUAUUAUCAUCAAGUUGGAAGAGAAAAAGUUAUCACUUGAACGACUGCGCGAGAUGGACAGCAAAGAGAUUGGAUUUAUGAUUCAAAAUCAAAGAUCUGGCCCAAUUGUUAAGCGAAAUGCAUCCGAGUUCCCUUACCUGGAUGUAGAGGCUACGGUUCAACCCAUCACGCGAACGGUGCUGCGAAUUCGACUCAGCAUCCGACCCGAUUUUCGCUGGAACGACAGAAUUCACGGUCUUUCGUCGGAGCCGUUAUGGAUGUGGGUGGAGGACCCUGAAAACAACACGACAUAUCAUUACGAAUCCAUUUCGCUGGGAAAGAAACAAGUGACACGCAAGGAGGAGCAAGUGAUUGUCUUCACCAUCCCAAUCUUUGAGCCACUGCCGUCGCAGUACUACAUCCGCAUUGUCAGCGACCGUUGGCUUCGCUGCGAAACCACUUAUCCCAUUUCGUUCCAGCAUCUCAUCCUACCCGAACGCCAUCCGCCACACACCGGUCUGUUGGACCUGAAACCGUUGCCCGUCGCUGCGUUAAAGAAUCCAGAGUGGCAAAGUCUCUACUCGUUUCCCUAUUUCAACCCCAUUCAAACGCAACUUUUCCACGUCUUGUAUCACACGGACCAUAAUGUCUUGCUGGGCGCACCCACUGGUUCGGGAAAAACCAUUGUUGCCGAAAUCGCCAUGUUCCGUGUCUUUCGGGAAUACCCAAAAGCUAAAGUGGUUUACAUCGCCCCGAUGAAAGCGUUGGUGCGGGAGCGGAUGGAUGAUUGGCGAGAGCGCCUAGGCCGCCGAUUGGGCAAAAAUGUUGUCGAGUUGACGGGUGAUGUCACACCUGACGUCAGGGCCAUCAGCCGGGCUGAUGUGAUCGUCACGACUCCCGAGAAAUGGGAUGGUGUUAGUCGAUCUUGGCAGACUCGCGAUUACGUUCGAGCUGUAGCGCUAAUCAUCAUCGACGAAAUCCAUUUGCUGGGAGAAGAUCGCGGUCCAGUCCUGGAGGUCAUCGUGUCCCGUACAAACUUCAUCGCGUCACACACUGGUCGCUCUUUGCGCCUUAUCGGCCUGUCUACUGCCGUUGCCAAUGCACGCGAUUUGGCCGAUUGGCUCAACAUUGGCCAAGUUGGUCUCUUCAAUUUUCGACCCUCCGUCCGUCCCGUUCCGUUGGAAGUUCACAUUUCCGGGUUCCCCGGUAAGCACUAUUGCCCCCGCAUGGCCACGAUGAAUAAACCCACGUUCCAGGCUAUCAAGCAGCAUUCUCCAGACAAGCCGGUGUUGGUAUUUGUCUCGUCUCGACGUCAAACACGGUUGACUGCCCUGGACCUGAUCGGUUAUCUAGCUGCAGAGGAUAGCCCUCGACAGUUUGUUCGUAUGCCAGAGCGAGACAUGGAGCAGCUCACCAUUUCCAUCCGAGAUCCAAAUCUCAAGUUGACUCUCUCUUUCGGUGUCGGCAUCCAUCACGCCGGUCUGACAGAGAAGGAUCGCCGUUUAGUGGAGGAAUUGUUUGUCAACCAAAAAAUUCAAGUUCUCAUUGCGACGGCUACCUUAGCCUGGGGUGUCAACUUUCCUGCCCAUUUGGUCGUUAUCAAGGGCACGGAAUACUACGACGGAAAAUCGCGUCGUUACGUCGACAUGCCAAUCACAGAUGUAUUGCAGAUGAUGGGUCGCGCGGGACGACCACAGUAUGAUGAUCACGGAGUCGCCUGUGUCCUUGUGCACGACAUCAAGAAAGAUUUUUACAAAAAAUUUUUGUACGAGCCAUUUCCUGUCGAAUCCAGUUUGCUGGAUGUGCUGCCGGAACAUUUGAACGCCGAAAUUGUGGCUGGCACGAUUUGCUCCAAACAGGAUGCAAUUGACUAUCUGACUUGGACGUUUUUCUUCCGGCGAUUGCUCCAAAACCCGGCCUAUUACGGACUGGAACAACUGGAACCUACCGAUGUCAACCAUUAUCUGACGUCGCUCAUUCAUCGCUCCCUCUCGGUCCUGGAAGCCGCGUCCUGUCUUGAAAUAGAGGACGAAGGUGGCCGCGUUGUACCCACUUCACUCGGCCGGAUCGCUUCCUAUUAUUACCUGAGCUACCACACGUUGCAGUUGUUUCGCGAUCGAUUGGGUCACGAAACGAAACUGGAAGAUCUUUUAUCCAUUUUGAGUGAUGCUCACGAAUAUAACGAACUUCCCGUUCGCCAUAACGAGGACCUGCUCAAUGCCGAAUUGGCCAAGAAAUGCCUUUUGCCCGUCAACCCUUACACGUACGAUUCAUCGCACACCAAGGCCCAUUUGCUCUUCCAGUCACAUUUUUCGCGCUUGAGUUUGCCCUGCGCCGACUACGUCACGGACACCAAAUCGGUGCUGGAUCAAGCGAUCCGCAUCUUGCAAGCCAUGAUGGAUGUGGCGGCCGAAGGCGGUUGGCUGGCGACCACUUUGCGUAUCCAACAGUUACUCCAGAUGGUGAUUCAAGCGAUGUGGAUUGAAGAUCCAGCCAUUCUCAUGCUUCCACACUUUGAUUCUUUCAUCUUGCCCGUCCUUCGAUCUUCUCAAGAACCUCUGACGUUCUUGCCCGUCUUGCAAAAAGCCUUUGCUGUCGACUAUGCGAAAAUGUGCAAUCUCCUGGCCACCGAUUUCAGCCCGGAUCAAAUCCAGGAAGUCCGUCAAGUUCUUUCAAAUUUACCCAUCAUCGACAUUGCAAUGUCUGUCCAGUUUGGAACGACCUCGGUGCCCUUGUCCAUUAUCCCCAACUGCGGGCUUCAAGAGACCGUAUGGAUUGACGUACCCGCAGAUCAAGAGUGCCUUCUGGAUGUCACUUUCACUCGCCAGAGCCUGUUCGAGGUAACCCCUGUCGCCACUGGAGGAGCUCGACCCAAAAAAUCCGCAAGUUUGCCAUCUCUGGGUGGCGGCGCUGGAGGCCAAGGGAACAACCCAUCCGGCCGCAGUAACCGGACUGUUUACGCUCCCAAAUUUCCCAAACCCAAAGACGAGGGUUGGUUUCUAACCCUGGGAUCGAUCGAGAAACAGGAAUUGCUAGCGCUGAAACGCGUGACUUUGCCUAGAGUGAAGUGCACACAACAACUGAGUUUCACGACCCCCGCAAGACUCGGCCGCAUGAUGUUGACAUUGUAUUUCAUGUCGGACAGCUACCUAGGCCUGGACCAGCAAUAUAAUGUCCACCUCAACGUUUGUAAAGCCAAACCCAAGGAAUUUGAUGACGAUUACGAGACAAAUAACGAGUUCUAAGGCAACAACAAUUGAAAGAGACUGUGAUGACUUUUCUCCGACCCCAUCUCCUCCCCAGAAUUCAACCCCCCCCAAUCGUUAUUUGCUGUUUUGCGAUGGCUCACGUUGAAAAUUAUUUUGAAAAUGUCAAAAGGUGGACAACACUAUUGAUGAAGUAACAAUCGAGAUUCCUAUAUUGAUAAUUUACAUUUCAAAAAAUAAACAAGUGAUUGCCAAAAGGAUUCCAAAAAAGGUAGUAUAUCGUCAUUUGUCGGAAGAUUUUGCGGUUGGAAUCGCAUUAUGGUAAGUACAAAUCGGAUAAAGCCGCAAGCGGUUGGCGGAAGAGAAAAAAAAACUAGUCAUUGUUGCGAAAAAAAAAACACGUAAAGAAAACGAUGGAGAGGAGAAACAAGAAGAACGUGUCACGACUGCUUAAAAAAAAAAACGAUUCGCACGACACGCAAAAGUACAAAACCGCUGUUGAAUUUCCUGACCGCGCGCGGUUGGUUGGUGAUGGUUGGCAACGACCAACUUUGUUGAUGAUGACGGUCAGCAAAUCAGCAGAAGCUGGUUCAUUAGUAUCUCCAUAUGCAACUUAAAACGCUGUAAGUACAUCCGCGUGGAAACCAUUUACAAGAACAUCUCAACCUGCUGGAGAACUUGCUACACACGUAGGUGAGAUAACCAUCACUUGACUCGAGCGGUGAAUAACAUUCCUUUGAGACAGCGUUCACGAUGGUAGGAUAAAUCAACUGUCAGCCGCAAUCGGAAAAGCCUAUUUUAGUGAUGGAUCACUGGAACGAAUUUAGAGAUGUUUGCCAGCUGCGCUAAACAAAUGUAUGAUGCCCGCAGUGCGUAUCAGCAUGUCAAGCCAGACUAUGGGAAGCUCAGCUCCAGUGUGUGUGUUUUUUUCUUCCCAACGCUCCACUACUAUCGCCCGUCUGCUGGAAGUGCUGCCGCAGCAGCACUGGCUGCUUCGCCCCAUGUUUCACUGGGCAUAAAUUGAAGUCUCGAAGAUCUGAAACCUUCAGUGUCGGUUUAGUCUCGCUCCGCCACCUUUACACACCAAGCGCACACAGCCUUUCUGCAGCUUCAUCCCCAACCAUGAAGAUCUUUAUUAUGGCGAUUUUUCUGGCCGUCGCGUCAGCUGGACCCGUUCCAAAUGCAUACGGUAUUGAUGGUCUGGGUGGAUCACCUUAUUACUAUCCGGGGGCCUAUUUGGGAGCAAACUAUCCUGGCCAGCCAGAGCAACAGUUUGUGCGGCUACCUGGUGAUUUCGUCGUGGAACAACAGCCUAUCUCCAAAUACGUCGCUCCGGCGGCAAUCAACGCUGCUGAUCGUUUCGGCAAUCCUCAGGGAAUUCAACUGGUUUUGUCAGUCCCGUCGGCCGUUCCCCCCGGCACGUCUGUCUCUGUCACUGUCAACGUGAACUCGGAACCGAACGGCGCCACAGUGGUAUCCGUAUCCAAUCCCGUGGUCUCGGCUCCCGCACCGACUGCGCCGCAGGAAUCGAUUAUCGUA